AUUUAUAUAAUAUAAAAGUAUAGUUGGUUUCCAACCAAAAAGUCUAAAUAAAAUUUAGUAUAAAUA
rnacentral:tRNA from 1 species